rnacentral:rRNA from 1 species
CUACACGACCGUACCGCAAACCGACACUGGUGCGCGAGAUGAGUAUUCUAAGGCGCUUGAGAGAACUCAGGAGAAGGAACUCGGCAAAUUGACACCGUAACUUCGGAAGAAGGUGUGCCUUUAGUAGGUGAAGUCCCUCGCGGAUGGAGCCCAAUGAGGUUGCAAAAAAUCGGUGGCUGCGACUGUUUAUUAAAAACACAGCACUCUGCAAACACGAAAGUGGACGUAUAGGGCGUGACGCCUGCCCGGUGCUGGAAGAUUAAAUGAUGGGGUGCAAGCUCUUGAUUGAAGUCCCAGUAAACGGCGGCCGUAACGAUAACGGUCCUAAGGUAGCGAAAUUCCUUGUCGGGUAAGUUCCGACCUGCACGAAUGGCGUAACGAUGGCCACACUGUCUCCUCCUGAGACUCAGCGAAGUUGAAAUGUUUGUGAUGAUGCAAUCUCCCCGCGGAAAGACGGAAAGACCCCAUGAACCUUUACUGUAGCUUUGUAUUGGACUUUGAACAGAUCUGUGUAGGAUAGGUGGGAGGCUUUGAAGCAGGGUCGCUAGAUCUUGUGGAGCCAACGUUGAAAUACCACCCUGGUGUGUUUGAGGUUCUAACCUAGGCCCGUAAUCCGGGUUGGGGACAGUGCAUGGUAGGCAGUUUGACUGGGGCGGUCUCCUCCCAAAGUGUAACGGAGGAGUUCGAAGGUACGCUAGUUACGGUCGGACAUCGUGACGAUAGUGCAAUGGCAUAAGCGUGCUUAACUGCGAGACUGACAAGUCGAGCAGAUGCGAAAGCAGGACAUAGUGAUCCGGUGGUUCUGUAUGGAAGGGCCAUCGCUCAACGGAUAAAAGGUACUCUGGGGAUAACAGGCUGAUACCGCCCAAGAGUUCAUAUCGACGGCGGUGUUUGGCACCUCGAUGUCGGCUCAUCUCAUCCUGGGGCUGUAGCCGGUCCCAAGGGUAUGGCUGUUCGCCAUUUAAAGAGGUACGUGAGCUGGGUUUAAAACGUCGUGAGACAGUUUGGUCCCUAUCUUCCGUGGGCGCUGCAGAUUUGAGGAAGCCUGCUCCUAGUACGAGAGGACCGGAGUGGACGCACCUCUGGUGUAUCGGUUGUCACGCCAGUGGCAUUGCCGAGUAGCUAUGUGCGGAAGAGAUAACCGCUGAAAGCAUCUAAGCGGGAAACUCGUUUCAAGAUGAGAUCUGCCGUGGCCUUGAGCCCCCUGAAGAGUCGUUCAAGACCAGGACGUUGAUAGGUCGGGUGUGGAAGCGCAGUAAUGCGUUAAGCUAACCGAUACUAAUUGCUCGUGCGGCUUGACCC